AGGUUUGCAAGACUUGCUGCCACAUCCUUUGUCAGUCAGGGCAUUCCAGUGUACCUCUUCUCCGGUAUCACACCAACACCAUUUGUGCCGUAUACCGUGACUCACCUUAAUCUGUGCGCGGGGAUUAUGGUUACUGCCUCUCACAAUCCAAAGCAAGACAAUGGAUACAAGGUUUAUUGGGAGAAUGGCGCUCAGAUCAUUCCUCCACAUGACAAGGGCAUUGCUCUGGCCAUUGAGGAGAAUCUGGAGCCAUGGCCACAAGCCUGGGAUGACUCUCUUAUUGAUGGCAGCCCCCUCCUUAAAGAUCCUUACAGCUCCAUAAACAAAGAUUACUUUUCUGAUAUAC